AAAGCAGUUCUAUCCACACCUUCACAGUGUGUGAUUGCUCAGCUACCAUCUCCUAUACAAGUCCAAAAUUCAACAAACACCCCUAAAUCUUUUUUCUCAAUUCUCUUGUAUCUUUUUCUUUUUCAAAAACUUCUCACAAACAUUCCUCAAUGGAGCUUCUCUCGGCUGUCAUUCCACUGUUGGCUUCCAAUUUGGUUCAACUGUGGGAGGAACUGCAAACAGCCUACGGCCUUGAUGCUGAGCUAGAAAAGCUGCAGAGCUCUGUCGCCAUGAUUCAAGCUGUACUGAAUGAUGCACAGGAGAGGCAACAGAUUAGGAACGCGGUGAAGCAUUUGCUGCAUGAGCUCAGCCAGGCUGCAUAUGAUGCAAAUGAUAUCUUGGACGAGGUGGCAACCGAACGCCAACGCUGUCAGCUGAUCAAAUAUGCAUCGGUACGCAAUUUCUUGGCCCCCAUAAAUCCUAAGCGUGAACUGUUCAAGCGAGAAAUAUGCCUCAGGGUAAAAGACAUAGAACACAGACUAGAUUCCAUAGCAAGGAGAUGCCCCUUAUCUGAAUUGACUCAGCGCAGUGCACCCCGGAGGCAGCAGAGUUAUCAGACCACCUCGCUAACUCCUUCUCUGGUUCUUGGUCGUGAGAGUGAUAAGCAAAAGAUAAAGAAUAUAUUGCUGCCAAUGGCUGAGGUGACUGACCAUAGCAUCACAGUGAUUUCUAUCUUUGGGAUGCCUGGUAUAGGGAAGACGACUCUCUCUCAACUAGUCUGCAAUGAUGAGUCUGUGAAGAACCAUUUUGAGCUUAGACUAUGGGUUUAUGUGUCUCAGGAUUUUGAUAUGAUGAUGAUUAUGAAGACCAUCAUUGAAUCCAUCGAUGGUUUUCAGUGUGAUUUUGUCAGCCUUGACAAUCUUCAGAAAGAACUUAGAAAGAAGCUGAGUGGGAGGAGAUACCUGCUUGUUCUGGAUGAUGUUUGGCAUGUGAGCCUACAGAACUGGGAGAGAAUAAAAACCUUCUUGUACUCCGGUGCUCAAGGAAGUAAGAUAAUAGUGACCACCAGAAUCGAAGAAGUUGCUAACUUCAUGGCAACCUCACCCCCUUACCGUUUGGAGGGACUAUCGAAUGAUGAGUGCUGGUCUUUGGUUUGUCAAUAUGCAUUGGCCCGAGAUCGGAAUGCAAUGGUUGAUCUUGAUCCCUACAAGAUGUAUGUCGUCAACAAAUGCAGAGGCUUGCCCUUGGCAGCUAUAACUUUGGGCUAUAGACUGUUCAGAGAAACUGACAGAAGCAAAUGGAGUGCUAUUUUACAGAGUGAGGCAUGGGAAUUCACCAGCAUGGAUGGAUAUAUUUCGCAUGCUGUCAGCUUAAGCUACCAAUACUUGCCCCAAUAUCUUAAGCCAUGCUUUGCGUACUUCUCCAUAAUUCCAAAAGGCUUCGAGUUUGAGAAGGAGUUCAUCAUUCAGCUAUGGAUAGCACAAAACUUCAUUCGACCAAGUGGAAGGGAACGGAUGGAAGAUAUUGCUAGUGACUACUUUGAUUCCCUCAUGCAGAGCUCAUUCUUUCAGCACUCGAAUUUUGACCACAAGAGUCGCCGACGUAGGUACAUCAUGCAUGAUGUUGUUCAUGAAUUUGCCCGACAUAUAGCAGCCGAGGAAUGUUCUGUCGUGGAGCCUGGCAAAGGCUGGUUUGGCUCUGCCAGCAUUCGCCAUUUAUCACUGAAAUAUGACCUAUUUGAUCAAAAUAUCUCGAACAUAUCGCCUCGAUUAAGGGGAGAAAACAAUCUAUCUGAGGAAGUUUAUAAAUGCAAAGGCUUGCAUACACUAAUCCUGGUUGGCGGCUCUAUGAGUUACCUGAUGGCUGUUCCUGAUGAUCUUGCCGAUAGACUUCAGAGCCUACGCACUCUAAAUCUAAGCAAUUUGGGAUUGGCUCUGCUGCCUGAAUCAAUCGGUGAUCUGAAGCAUCUGCGCUGUCUCCAAAUACAGAACACAAAUAUCAUUAGACUGCCUGAAUCUGUGUCUCACCUCUACAACCUGCAAACCUUGGCACUUAGGAAUUGCUAUUUUCUUGAAGAGCUUCCAAAGGAUACAAGGAAUCUGCGCAAGUUACGGAAUCUUGAUCUACAUCUUGAUGGUAAUUCAAGAAUGACAUUGGCGCCGGAAGGAAUGCACACAAGAGGCAAUUUGAGAUUUAUGCCACCAGAUAUUGGAUUGUUAACUGAUCUUCAAACACUUUCAAGAUAUAUUGUGAGCACAAGGCUUCACUGUGGUUUAUCUCAGUUGAGGGACUUGAACAAUCUCCAUGGUGAACUUCUCAUUGCAAGACUUGAUCUUGUUUUCAAGGCAGCAGAAGCUGUUGAAGCAAACCUCAUGAGCAAGGAACACAUCAACAGGCUGGAGUUGACAUGGAACUACAGUAAUAUAACUGAAGCAGUUGCACAAAGUAUUGGAUAUGAGGAGAAAGAAUAUGUUCUAAAAAAUCUCAGACCUCAUACGAACCUGAAAGAGCUUGGAAUAGUUGGGUAUGGAGGAACAUCAUUUCCAACUUGGGUAGGAGAUCCUUCCUUCUCCAAUCUAGUGACCUUAUGGAUCUGCAACUGUGAUAAUUGUUUUAACCUCCCACCACUUGGCCAAUUACCAAAGCUUAAAUAUCUAUACAUAAAAGAAAUGCAUCGGGUGCAGCACCUUGACUGCUCAUUUUGUGGCAGUAACAAGCAAAGGUUUCCAUCAUUGGAGAAGCUACAUCUAAAAACAAUGUCAGGACUGGAAGAAUGGUGUGGUGCUGAUAACUGUGUUUUGCCUUCUCUUCGUGAGCUUGUUAUCAAGGACUGCUUUGCUCUUGACCAAUUAAAGCACAAAUUUCCUGCUUUGACGAAGUUGGUGAUAGAAGCAUCCCGAAGUUUUGCUGGCCUAUCUGACUUCCCAGCACUCAAAUCACUAGAAGUGAAGACUACUGAUGACUGGAUUUGGAGUUCCUGGUCUGUUGUUUCCUUGCUUCCCUCCCUGACUCUCAGUGGACUGCAACGGAGAACCUUUCCUUUCAAUAUACAAGGUUCCCAUGCUUUGAUCCGUCGAUUGGAAAUUAGUCACUGCAAUCAAUUGUUAUCAUUACCGGAUGAUUGGCUCCCGACCGGCCUGUUGUACUUGGCCAUCAAGCACUGCCCUGAGCUCCAUACUCUUCCCAAAGGACUGCCAAAACUAAUAAAGUUAGAGGACUUGGAGAUCGAAAACUGCAGGCAUCUCAUGUAUUUACCAGUUGGCCUCAGAAACAUGGCCUCACUUGCACGUCUCGAGAUCUCAGACUGUCCUGGCCUCUUGUGCUUGCCAAAUGAUGGUUUUCCAAGCAAACUUCAAUUUUUGAGCAUCAGUAACUGCCCAGAGCUCAGGCUACAAUGCCUUGGGAUGGGUGAUCAAGGCUGGUACACUCUUCAGCACAAUCUGCAGGUGUGGAUAGAUGGAGAACUACAAACUUCCUUGGUUCAUCACUACCCUCAAUUCACACAAGCACUGAAUAUAUCAAGUUAACAGCACCACGAUAUCAUGAGGUCAGAGUUGAAAUCUCAAGCAAGUAGAUGGAACUGAUUGUAGCAUGGUCUUAUACUUUGGAAUAAAAAUAAAAAAUUCCUGUUUAGUUAUGGAAAUUGUGGAAUGCAGAGUCAAGGUAAGGGUGUACCGCAAUAAAGUUCCUAGCUUCACAUCGAUGGGGUCUCCUGUUGACAAUCAAAAACAUAUCACCAAAUCAACACCACAAAGGAUACCUUUGCUCAAAUGAAGUAUUCGUAUAUCAUGUACUGAACUUCUUUGGCCUCUGUAGUUUAAUUUUCCAUCGAAGAAUGUUAAUUUCAUGCAGAUCUUUCUGCAGAAUUCUGUCUAAAACCUUAUAUGUGAAAUCUUGGAUUGAAUGGCUUCUCAAUGUUUUUACAUAGAAAUAUUAAUUGUGGAAGUCCUCACUUGUCAUUCCUUGAACCUUC